CAGCAUCUGCCUCUUUCCACUUGAACUCUGGCAGGAGGUUUGUUCCAUUGCAUGUGGUUCUGAGUUGUUCAGUCUAAUGGAAGAAGCACUAGAGAAGAGCUCAGAACGUUUGGUUUUAAAGCAGCAUCGUCAAUAUCUUUGAGUCCAACAGUCAAAUUCAAAUAUACUCCAAGAAUGUUACGAAGUUGUCGUCGGGAAGCAUGGCAAACUGAUACAGUGAAAAGAGAAAUUCUUGAGUCAGGUGUUGACCACUUUAAAUCUCAGGCUGCUUCAUCUAUGCAGGAUAAUUCCACAGCGUGGGGCCAGGAAUCUAGCACCGAUCCAGAGACUGAGUCCACUGUAAGGAUAACUCACUGCAAGCUGCCGGUGCUGUGAGGCCUGUACCUAACCCCAGCCUCUAACCUUCAGCUUCAUUUGGGCUGGAAGUGGCCAUUUGUGGUGAGAGCUGAAAACAACACCCUUCCUUUAUGACUGGACGAGGAGCAGCUGCCUUGUCAGUGUCACUAGGGCUGGUCCACUGCUUAUCUAAGGUUAAG
rnacentral:lncRNA from 1 species